AGUAAGUAGAUAAAGUUACGAAUCCAAAAUUAAAUUUGCAAUUUAUUAGUUCUGGAAAUAUCAUCGUUCGUUAUUGUCAUGCUUCAAUGAAAACUAGAAAUAUUUCUAGGAAAUUCGUAUUUUGCGUCUCGAAGAACGUUGCUGGUUUAGGAUUUUAUUAGAUUAUCAAUUUAUGUAUAUUGCAUUCUUAUCUACUAUUUGUGAUGUCGUCGUCGUCGUGUCGAGUGUUUUCGGAUUUGCGAUGAGAUAACGAUAACGCGUAGAACGUAGGUAUCUAUUGUGUAAGGUAAGAAUUUUGUGCAAGUUUGAUUUUGCCUUUAGGAGUGAAUUGUCGUGAAAUAAUGUUCUAUGCUGGCGAUUUUUACCGGUAAUAUUGUGAUGCAUUCAUUUUAUAAUGUUUCAAUUUUCUCGAAAUGAGUUCGGAUUGUUGUAUGUUCGUACGCGAAAAUCGGUUGAUUCGGUUGCUUACUCAAUGUGGAAUUAGUGUUCGUUUUUUAAAGCAAUUUCGUUGUAUGUUCGACAUUGUUUUGACCUCUGGUUGUGUACGACGAAAAGCUUCUCAUCGGAUGGCGUGUAAUUAUAAAUAUCAAAGAAAUGAGUAUCCAGUGAUGUCCAAAUGCCCUGCUAGAAUUCUCACCUCAAUCACAGCAGACUACAAACGAAUUGAGGUUCUCUUGCGGAUGGUUAAAUUAAAUCUGAAGUCGAAGACUCGAAGUAGCCACUGUCAACGCCGCACCUCCCCACACGGUUCCCAUUGGCGCAAUUAAUUUUGCCUGCAGUCGAUUGUGUACUCCAACUCCUGUACCUGUGUUUGUGUGUAAGUACAGCUUCCUUAACACUUGAACUAUGGCCUUUCUUUUUAUAACCAGUAGGUUAAGGUUGUAAUUUUUUUUUCUUUAUUUUUCCCCCCUGUUACGAUGGCGAUUUCACGCGUUGGUCGAGCUAACGACGCAAUUCGUCUGUGUAUCGCACGUGUAUAGUAAAAUGUACGAGUACGACGAAGUUUCAGGGUUCCUCUCAAGUCACUGGUGUAUUUGCAAAUCUAUCUGUGAGAUUAUUCGAUAUUAUAGCUCGAUCCAGUUAUAAGCACUAAGCACUGGUAUUUUCGAUUUUGUCCUGCAUUUCUGCAGUAGGUAGUUCAUCACUGGAAACCAAUUUUUGCCUUUUUUUUUAAGAAUAGAGGGAGGCUGUUGCUCGGAUUUUUGGUGUUUAUGCUAUUUCUCGUUUAGUACUACGGAAUGAUAAUUUUUUGAGCGCAUAAUGUGGGUAAUGAUCUUGAAAUUUUUCAAUUUUUUUUGACCCCAACAACGACCUUAAAACCAAUUUUGAAAGCUACGAAUCAAUGUGCAAAGGAGUCUGAAAUCUGGAAAAAUGCCAAAAAUUAGUUUUGUAUUUUUCAGAGUGUUUUCUACAAAUUAGUAAUUUUUUCAAAAUUUUUUCAUUGGAGGCAGCUACUCCAUGGCAUCAAACCCAUUUGAAAACACGUUUCCUCCGUCUAAAGUUCCCAGAUUUG